UGAAGAGCAGAUCACGUUACUCUGGGUUUUGCCACCAGGGGUGAUAAAUCACAUUUCUCUGGGGCAGCAGGUGUCGUCGGUCUCUCCGAUGAUAGCUAUUGAUUCAUUAUUUCCUUUGACUCUCGAGCUGCCCUAGCCCUAGCUAAAUCGUACAAUGAAUGGUUUAUUCUAUAUGAUUUGUAUGCUGUCAAUUUCUCUCGCACCAGCCGUCUCAGACACCAUAGGAUGCCUUGAAGGCCUAAUCCGUAAAGAAACGAUACGAUGUAAAAACAUUUCAACCGGAGAUGGAUAUUAUAAAUACCCCUGGCCUUGGGUUGAAGUGUGUGAUAUUGAGCAUGAAGUUUACGCCGACGAUCAGACGAAACUGGCUAACGGUAUUGAUGAACUCCCUCAACAAAAACUCUGUCAAAACCUGACAGUGAAAUGCUUGUACAAAAGGGAUGGCAAAAAUAAAGAAUUCUGCGUGAAAUUUGUCAUCGAUCACUCAUCUUCUGCUUCCUCUUUAUUAGACCCAGGAAAACCUAAACAACAGUUAAACAACACAAGUGAACAGACUGACACAGACUCAGUGAAAAAUGAAACAUCACCCACGGAUCAACAUACCCAGCCAGCUGCGUUUUGGAUUACUGUUGUUGGGUUGGUGGUGGCGGUGGCGGUGCCAGUGGCGGUGGCGGUGGCGGUGGUGUUGGCGGUGGUGUCUACAAAAAAAGAAACCGAUGCCAACCCAGAACCAAGGACUGGAGUUAAGAUCCGACGAUGGUGAUCAGACAGCACCGGGAAAUGGAGUCCCGACUGAAAACGGGGCUGCACAAUCAAUGCUAAGUGGAACCAAUAGACCUGUUACUGGGGACGGAACCGUCACCCUGACAAAUGAUGGGUCACCUUUGGAUGGACCAAGGCGCCGUUGUCUCACUUCUGGCUGUCGGACAGCCUAGUGCCCUGGUGCUCGAGGCAGGGGCGGAGCAAGGCAAGCCAUAAGGAGCGGGAGAGGGAUAAUGGGUUGGUAGUUACUCAAACUACCUUUGAAGAUAUACUAAAUGGGAAAGCAGGAUUUAGUUACUAUGCAACAAAUAGCUGGAAUAAACUCCCAGAGGAUUUAAGACUUAACCCAACUCUGACCACCUUUAAAACAAGACUGAAGACUUUUAUGUUUGCUAUAGCUUUCUGCUAAAUCUUAAAUACAUUGCACUUUCUAAAAAGCUUUUUAACUUUGCCUUUAUUUUCUAUUUUAAUACUAAAAUGCCUUUUUCUAUUUUACCCAUUUCUUUGCAUAUGUUUUUCUUUUACUUAUCUAUUAUUUUAUUUUAUUGUAUUACAAUGUUUAUAUGUGAAGCACUUUGAGUCUGCCUUGUGUAUGAAAAGUGCUAUAUAAAUAAAGUUGCCUUGCCUCGCCUUGCCUAAUUCAUCAUGGUGUGAGUAAACAAUAAUAAUAUAUAUAUAUAUAUUGGUGAAAUUAAUCCCUAAAAUAAUCUUGAAAAGGAAUAAAUGAAUGACUCUUUGUUAAUCUAUUCUGUUGCAUUUGUAUUUAAUCAAAUAAAUUCAUGUUUGUCAAAUUUGCC
ensembl:lncRNA